UACAGAGGUCUCAAGCGUUGUUCGGAAUCACUGGGCGUAAAGCGCACGUAGGCGGAUUUGUCAGUCAGGGGUGAAAUCCCGGGGCUCAACCUCGGAACUGCCUUUGAUACAGCAAGUCUUGAGUUCGAGAGAGGUGGGUGGAAUUCCUAGUGUAGAGGUGAAAUUCGUAGAUAUUAGGAAGAACACCGGUGGCGAAGGCGGCCCACUGGCUCGAUACUGACGCUGAGGUGCGAAAGCGUGGGGAGCAAACAGG
rnacentral:rRNA from 1 species